rnacentral:rRNA from 1 species
UACAGAGGGGGCAAGCGUUGUUCGGAAUUACUGGGCGUAAAGGGCGCGUAGGCGGCCCUCUAAGUCAGACGUGAAAUCCCCAAGCUUAACUUGGGAACUGCGUCUGAUACUGAGUGGCUUGAAUUCGGGAGAGGGAUGCAGAAUUCCAGGUGUAGCGGUGAAAUGCGUAGAUAUCGGAAGGAACAUCAGUGGCGAAAGCGGCUUCCUGGACCAGAACUGACGAUCAGGCACGAAAGCGUGGGGAGCAAACGGG